AAAAACAUCCUUGAGAAACUGUUGAGAGAAAAUCCAAUUUGUGGCAUGUAUUACCUAACUCAUGUCCUGAUGAAAGAGGCUAUAGUCUUUGGUGUGUGCUUGCGAACUGGCUUGCCAAUGGAAGAGGCAGAGAAAAGAUGUAAAGAAACAGAAACUUCUAUGAAAAAGGCCAAAAGAAAAGAUUAAAAUCUUUACAUAACUGCAUGCUAAUAAUUUGCAGUCUUCAUCUUAGAUAGUUAAUGUCAAGUUUUUAAUCCAUUGCCGAUACAUUUAGUAAUAAUAACUAUAUAUUCUAUAUUCAAGUGAAAUAUCAUGUGUGAGUGUAUAAUCUCGGAGGCGGUAAUAGGCCGCUCAGCAUGUAUAUUUAUGUAUCUAUUCUAUAUAUUCAAGUGAAAAUAUCAUUAUAACGUGUAUAUAAUCUCGGAGGCGGUAAUAGACCGCUCAGCAUGUAUAUUUAUGUAUCUAUUCUAUAUAUUCAAGUGAAAAAUCAUGUGUGAGUGUAUAAUCUCGAAGGCGGUAAUGGGCCGCUCAGCAUGUAUAUUUAUGUAUCUAUUCUCUAUAUUCAAGUGAAAUGUCAUGUGUGAGUGCAUAAUCUCGGAGGCGGUAAUAGGCCGCUCAGCAUGUAUAUUUAUAUAUCUAUUCUAUAUAUUAAAUUGAAAAUAUCAUUAUAAUGUGUAUAUAAUCUCGGAGGCGGUAAUAGACCGCUCAGCAUGUAUAUUUAUGUAUCUAUUCUAUAUAUUCAAGUGAAAAAUCAUGUGUGAGUGUAUAAUCUCGAAGGCGGUAAUGGGCCGCUCAGCAUGUAUAUUUAUGUAUCUAUUCUAUAUAUUCAAGUGAAAAUAUCAUUAUAAUGUGUAUAUAAUCUCGGAGGCGGUAAUAGGCCGCUCAACAUGUAUAUUUAUGUAUCUAUUCUAUAUAUUCAAGUGAAAUAUCAUGUGUGAGUUCAUAAUCUUGCAGGCGGUAAUAGGCCGCUCAACAUGUAUAUUUUUAUGUAUCUAUUCUAUAUAUUCAAGUGAAAAUAUCAUUAUAAUGUGUAUAUAAUCUCGGAGGCGGUAAUAGGCCGCUCAACAUGUAUAUUUAUGUAUCUAUUCUAUAUAU